rnacentral:hammerhead_ribozyme from 1 species
GUACUACUGAAGAGUCUUAUACUUGGACGAAACAAGUGUCUAGUAC